AUUCCGAUAUGUUGACACCAUCUAACUAUCUCCUUAAACCUCUCACAUGCUUAAAAAACAGUUUCAUUAUCUUUUUGGCAGAAGUUAUGGAUUUUUCUUCUAAACUU
rnacentral:snoRNA from 1 species